rnacentral:rRNA from 1 species
UACGUAGGGUGCAAGCGUUAAUCGGAAUUACUGGGCGUAAAGCGUGCGCAGGCGGUGAUGUAAGACAGGUGUGAAAUCCCCGGGCUUAACCUGGGAACUGCAUUUGUGACUGCAUCGCUGGAGUGCGGCAGAGGGGGAUGGAAUUCCGCGUGUAGCAGUGAAAUGCGUAGAGAUGUGGAGGAACACCGAUGGCGAAGGCAGCCCCCUGGGCCAACACUGACGCUCAUGCACGAAAGCGUGGGGAGCAAACAGG